rnacentral:rRNA from 1 species
UAAACUACGAUUAGAUACCCUAUUAUAGGAGAGGUUAAUUAAAUUCACUUAAGUAGUAUUAGUUAAGUUCUUGAAACUUAAAAAAUUUGACGGUAAUUUAAUCUAACCAGAGGAACUUGUCCCGUAAUCGAUAGCCCUCGUUAUACUUUACUUAAAUUUGUUAUUAGCUUAUAUACCGCCGUCAUAAAGUUAUAUUAAAAAAUUAUAAUUAAGAUUUUUGUAAAGAAUGUCAGGUCAAGGUGUAGCUUAUGUUUAAGAGGAGAUGAGUUACAAUAAGAUUACUUAAACGGAUUGCUUGCUGAAACACAAGCAUUAAGGUGGAUUUGGUAGUAAUUAUUUAUACAAGAAAAUUAAUGAAUUUAGCUCUAAAUUAUGUACAC